GGGCCCGCACAAGCGGUGGAGCAUGUGGUUUAAUUCGACGCAACGCGAAGAACCUUACCUGGGCUCGAACGGCCGUUCAACGAUCGUGGAAACACGGUUACUCCGCAAGGGGGUACGGUCGAGGUGCUGCAUGGCUGUCGUCAGCUCGUGUCGUGAGAUGUUGGGUUAAGUCCCGCAACGAGCGCAACCCUUGUCCUGUGUUGGCAUGCCGCAAGGCGCAACUCUCAGGAGACCGCCAGCGAUAAGUUGGAGGAAGGUGGGGAUGACGUCAAGUCAUCAUGGCCUUUAUGUCCAGGGCCACACACGUGCUACAAUGGGCGGUACAAAGCGCAGCCAACCCGCGAGGGGGAGCUAAUCGCCAAAAACCGUCCUCAGUUCGGAUCGCAGGCUGCAACUCGCCUGCGUGAAGCUGGAAUCGCUAGUAAUGCUAUAUCAGAACGAUAGCGUGAAUACGUUCCCGGGCCUU
rnacentral:rRNA from 1 species